rnacentral:pre_miRNA from 1 species
AAAGUACUCCAUUCGUCCGAAAAUACAUGUAAUAGAAAUAAAUAUAUCUAGAUGUACUUUAGUUCUAGAUACAUAUAUUUUUAUCAAUUUGUGUGAGAAGUAAUUCCGGACGGAGGGAGUACUCC